AUCAUGAUAUAAACUAAAGAUAGCGUUCCAGUUAUAUUCAUUUCAAUGGAAAAAUGAAAGAAAUGGGAUGAAAAAUGUCGGCAGAGUAAACUGUGGGUCAUGCUCACAAUUUCCUUGCGACUACCUUACACAUAACAUCGCUCUAUGUCAGAAAUCACGUUGCAAGAUGUAGCAAAAAUUGCCUCGUGGAACAUAACAACAUUGUUGAAACCGACCUAUCUGCGCAUGCUCCGAAUGUCAAAGGUUUUCCUUAGGUUUUCCUUUCCAUCCGUCAAUAUGAAAUACGCGCGCAAAUUCGUCUGAGAACACGAACUACGUUCGUUUUGAGAGAUGACCCGUUGGUUUGUGCGAUUAUUCACAGGACGUAAUCUUUUCUUAUCCUAACUUCAUCCAGAAAGAUAACCCGUUUCUGCAAUAAAUCGGGCUACUAAAGCGCAAAGUCAAACGCAAAAUGCUCUGGCACAUUAGACUUUUAUAUAAAGUACACUAAACUUCUACGGAUGAGCGACCCGCGAAUUUCUAUUUUCCGCCGGGUCGUUUUGUUGGGUCCAGUGCAAUUUUUCUUUUGAGCCCCAUAUGAAGUUAUAAUUUAAAACUAAAGAAAAAAUGCCAUGUUGGAAAACAACAUACUCCAACUUAGGGUGCCCCGCUAAAUCUUGGGUGUCCCUCUGACGUUAGGACCGCUAUCAUGUCAGGGUGGGGCAGGAAAACUUUCCCCUGCCCCGCCCUCUUGGUAGCCCUGAGCGGCCAGGGGUUACAGUGCCCCGAAGUGGCUAAACUAGUCUCUUCUGUCCCCCCUGAGCGCCAUCACUGACGUGAAAGCAAAGUAAGCUACA